CCUACGGGGAGCAGCAGUGAGGAAUAUUGGUCAAUGGACGAGAGUCUGAACCAGCCAAGUAGCGUGAAGGAUGACUGCCCUAUGGGUUGUAAACUUCUUUUAUAUGGGAAUAAAAUGUUCCACGUGUGGGAUUUUGUAUGUACCAUAUGAAUAAGGAUCGGGUAACUCCGUGCCAGCAGCCGCGGUAAUACGGAGGAUCCGAGCGUUAUCCGGAUUUAUUGGGUUUAAAGGGAGCGUAGGUGGAUUGUUAAGUCAGUUGUGAAAGUUUGCGGCUCAACCGUAAAAUUGCAGUUGAAACUGGCAGUCUUGAGUACAGUAGAGGUGGGCGGAAUUCGUGGUGUAGCGGUGAAAUGCUUAGAUAUCACGAAGAACUCCGAUUGCGAAGGCAGUUCACUGGACUGCAACUGACACUGAGGCUCGAAAGUGUGGGUAUCAAACAGGAUUAGAUACCCGUGUAGUC
rnacentral:rRNA from 1 species